GGGGAAUCUUAGACAAUGGGCGCAAGCCUGAUCUAGCCAUGCCGCGUGGAGGAUGAAGGUCUUCGGAUUGUAAACUCCUGUUGCCCGGGACGAAUGGCCACGACCUAACACGUCGUGGUGUGACGGUACCGGGGGAGGAAGCCCCGGCUAACCCUGUGCCAGCAGCCGCGGUAAUACAGAGGUCCCGGGCGUUGUUCGGAUUCACUGGGCGUAAAGGGUGCGUAGGUGGCAUGGUAAGUUUGAUGUGAAAGCUCAGGGCUUAACCCUGAAAUGGCAUUGAAUACUACUGUGCUGGAGGUUUGGAGGGGGGACUGGAAUUCUCGGUGUAGCAGUGAAAUGCGUAGAUAUCGAGAGGAACACCAGUGGCGAAGGCGAGUCCCUGGACAACACCUGACACUGAGGCACGAAAGCUAGGGGAGCAAA
rnacentral:rRNA from 1 species